CUCCUGGAACAAGUGGCAGGAUAAUAUCUUGUACCUGUUGGAGAGACUAUAGCCUGCAAACAGUAAGAAGAUUCCCCUCUCUUUCUCAGUGGAUGUAAAGCAGUGAUUCUGCAUAAAUGUAUCAACACUAUAGCUCAACUCCUUCUGGAGUGGACUUCCCCUAGACCUGGAGAGCGAGUCCUGCCUAGCAUACACGGCCUGAAGUUCGAGAUCUCUUCCAAUUCAGGUCAACAAGAAAACUCAAUUCCUCUUCAGGAAGUUAAGUGACUUAAAGAUUACAUAAGAGCUAAGAAGACAAGCCAGCUAAGCAUGUUCAAGACCGGGCUUUUUGAAACUGCACUAAUUGAUCAUAACGAGACGGGGUUUCACCAUGUUGCCCAGGCUGGUCUAGAAGUCCUGGGCUGAAGCGAUCCGACCGCCUCCCAAAGUGCUGGGAUUACAGGAGUGAGCCAUCUCGCCCAGCCGAAAAAGUGUUUUUUGAUCUUAAAAUCUUACGUGGAAUGAAAGUGAACAAUGAGGCAAUGAAAGUGGAAGUUUCUCUUAAGCAAACACAGAAGUCAACCAUUCCAGCUUUCUAAGGUACUGGUAAUACUCUUUCGUCUAUUUUAUUUUAUGGCAUAAUUUUAAGACUCCUGUGAGCUAUGUCUUUAGGGGAAGUUUGGGAAGGACAGGCAGAGUGUCAAUACUAAAUUAACAUCAGUUUAAUUUCCGCCCAUGGUUAUCUGGGCCUCAUUCCAGCAUUAAGACUUUCAGAAAAAACAUUGAGAUAAAGCUGUCUUUUUAUACCAACAGGUGGCAGUAUUGCUUUGAAACAAACGACAGCAACGACACCGUACUGUCCCAUUUUAAGAAACUUCUAGAUCCAUUGCAUUUCUAAAAUCUUACACUUUUAUUAGACUUCGCCUUUUUAAUUUAAUUUUAUUUGUAUUUAUUUAUUUAUUUAUUUAUUUAUUUGGAGACAGGGUCUCGCUCUGUCCCCCAGGCUGGAGUGCAGCGGCGCGAUCUCUGCUCACUGCAACCUCUGCCUCCCGGGUUCAAGCAAUUCUCCUACCUCAGCCUCCCGAGAAGCUGGGAUUACAGGCAUGCACCACCACACUCGGCUAACUUUUUGUAUUUUAGUAGAGAUGGGGUUUCACCGUAUUGCCCAGGCUAGUCUAGAAGUCCUGAGCUCAGGCAAUUCGUCCACCUCGACCUCCCAAAGGCUAGGAUUACAGCGUGAGCCACCGCGCCCGGCCUUUUUUUUGACCGUCUGGUGGCUUUGUCUCCCAGGUUGGAGUGCAGUGGCGCGAUCACAGCUCCCUGCAGCUUUGACCUCCCGGGCUCAAGCGAUCCUCCCACCUCAGCCUCCCGAGUAGCUGGGACCACAGGCCACCAUGCCCAGCUUCUAGGCUUCAACAUGCCCCCCAAAAUGACAGUGGAAUAGCCAGAUGCGGUGGUGCCAGCCUGUAGUCCCAGCUACUUGGGGGACUGAGGUGAGAAGAUCGCUCACCAGGAGGUCGAGGCUCCAGUUGGCUGAUUGUGCCACUGGGUGACAGAGCCAGAACUUGUCUCAAAAAACAAAACGAAACAAAAGUGGAUUAAAUAAAGCACAAACGUGGUAUUUGAAGAAAAUUAAAAAGGACUCACCAAUAUCGCCCGUUCAUUCAGAGCCUUGCCUUUGGAAGAAACACACACUCAUUUAUCUUCCCCCAGGAAGGCCUCUUUCCUAUCAAGUAAACCUAGAGUGAUGAUUAAUGCAGAAAAACAGGCCCCGUGUUGCAAAUGAUAAGUUUGCUUCUCUGAGAACCUCCAGAUUAGGUUACAUUCAAUUCACUAAUCUAGUCUCCAGCCUGGCAAAAAUUUACUGUGAAAACGUCUUCAAGUAAGUUUCUUUUUUACACUGACUGUUGGGAUAGGACUGGAAUCAGCGAUCACAAUUUGAUCCUAAUUUGUUGAUGUUCCCUUAAUUUUUAAAAUUUUUUGCAUGUACAUGCACUCAUGUAACCAUCACACUGAUUAAAAUAUAGAAUAUUUCUAGUACCUAAGAAGGUUUCCUAUGCUCGCUCAAACUUUAAAAUCAGAAAAAAAUAUAUUUCUCAAUUUGUGUGUUUAAAACCAAAACAAACAAAUACAAAACAUGAAGUAGAAGGGUUGGGGAUGUGAAAGGAAAAUAAAAGUUGGGGUCCCCAAAUCACUAAGCUAAAGGCAAAAGUCAAGCUGGGAACUGCUUAGGGCAAACUUGCCUUCCAUUCUGUUCAAAGUCACUCCUCUGCUCACUGAGAUAGAUGCAUAUCUGAUUGCCUCCUUUGGAAAGACUCAAAAGAAACUCAAAAGAGUGUAACCCUCCCUCCGUCACCUAUCUGCGACCUGGGAGCCCCCUCCCUGCUUCAAGUCUUCCUACCUUCACUUCAAGUUGUCCCGCCUUUCCAGACCGAACCAAUGUACUUCUUACAUAUAUUGACUGAAGCCUCAUGUCUCCUAAAAUGUAUAAAACUAAGCUGUGCUACAUCACCUUAGGCACAAGGUCAGGACUUUCUGAGGCUGCGUUACAGGCACAUCCUCAACCUUGGCAAAAUAAGCUUUCUACUCAAAUUUUCAGGGUUCACAUUUUGGUAACCAUGGAGGGAUUCUUAGUGGAGAUGGCCCUGACCUUUGACAAGUCUCCUAUUGGUGCUUGAUACCAGCAGGAGCUAACUUUAUGGCUCAAACCGAAAGAACAAUUUGCUAAGGUCUGAGGGCACCCACUCCAGAGAAUCCCUGAUUUCCCCAAAUUCAGUCAUGACCCCAACUUUAUUUUGCUGUACAACUCCUCUUUUUCUUUUGAGUUUUACUUGCUCCCAACACAAGGAAGGCAAGUUUUCUUGCUUCCAUGACGUUGAAAGGCAGGUAACUCCUUCAAGGAGUUUGAGCUCGCUUGCAACAGAGAAAAUGAGCUUGGUUUUUUGUUGUGGUUGUUUUUUCCUGCUUCUAGGGUGGUAGAGAGCAGUCUACAGCCUGAGACCCAUCACUAGGUAGGAAACUGGUUUGGGAUUCUAUCUUGCAAACUCCUUUUAAAUGACUAAAGUUAGCAUUUAACAACCAGCUGGUGUUAAUUUCUUCUUAAUACUUAGAGCGCUCAGAAAUAGUAUAUUUUUGUGUGAUCAUUGUUAGUUUAGCAGCAUUUUGUCCUAGUUGAAAUAUGGUAAUAAGAUUUAAAAAACAUUUUUAAAGGAGCUCAAUGUUAAAAAUCAACUUAAUUAAAAGGCCAUCCAAGAUGUGUGUAUGUAUGUGUGCAUGUAUGCAUCUUUGUAUUUGAAAGGUCUUCAAGUUUUUGCUUUUUGUUUGUUUUUCUCUCCUAAGACCUUGUCUUUUUUUUUUUUUGAGCAAAAGUUUUUUUUUCUUUUUCUUCUCAGUUGACUGAAUUCUGUUUUCACCUGAUUUUUUUUUUCUUUUUUACUAAAAUAGUUAUUGCAACAGAGGCUACUGUUAAGUUUUUAAGAAAGAGUGUAGUUUAAUUUUAUGUUUCAUUUGGCUCAAAAUAAAAUAAAAAACAUCUCCCUCUAGGACCACCAGACUCUUUCUCUCUGUACCUUAUGAUGUAAAUUUUGCUAUUUGAUUUUCACCUGAGUUGUUUCCUUUAGUGUGCAAAUUUAAGGCUAUUUAGCUGACAACUGCCUAGGGUUGUGAAACAGGCUAUCAAGAAUCUGAAAGUCUAAGAUAGGAAAAAAAAAGAGCGGGGUCUUUAUAAAUCUAUAAAAUGUACUUCCAUCGGCAUGCCUAAUACAUCUUUGUAUGUAUUUAUGCGCUGUGUACAAAAUGUUUCACUACUAAAAAUAUAUAAAAGAGCUCUAAUCAAUUGGCUUAAAGGAAAAUAAAAGCUCUUAAAUCAGAUACUAAAAAAUAGACUAGUCAAAUGCUUUUUCAAGUUUAUGUAACUUAAAUAAAAUCUUUAACAAAUAAGCUAGCUUUAAAAUUAUUGGUAAAGUAAUAUUAGAAAUGUCUUAAGAAUUGCCAGCAUACAGUUUUUGUUUUGCAUUUAUUAAUCAAGCAAUUCCAUACUUAUCCCUGCCAAAUGCUAUAAGGUGUCAAAAUUUGGCAUGGGAUUACGAAACUAUAAAACCAGUCCAAAACAGAAUGAUUUUUGUUUGUGUAAUUUUUAAUAAGUAAGACAUUGAUAUGGGUUUAAUGAAAAUAGCUGCAUCUUGAAUUUAGUAAGAUUACCAUAAUUUCUAAUCCUGUGGCUUUAGGCAGUCUAGUCCACAGGCAAUAAGGAAGUUUGUUUUGGGAAAGGACUGUUAUCAUUUUUGUUUCAAAGCUAAACUAUAGACUAAGUUGCUCCCGAAGUUAGUUUGGCCUAUGCCUAGGCAUGAACAAGGAUAGCUUGGAGGUUAAGAGCAGGUUGGAGUCAAUUAGGUCAAAUCUUAUUUUCACUGUCUCAGUUAUACAUAAUUUUGCAAUGGCAGUUUCAUAACUUUAAAUUCAUGACUAUCACAGUUUUCAUAAAUAAUCUAGGUAGACAAUUAAAAUAAAAUAGAUAAAUGUAAUGGGAUAAAUACUUGUAGAAAACUGGUCAUAAUUUCAUAAUUUAGAAUAUAAAGUUAUAUUAAAUUAAAUAAUAUAUAUUUCAUUAUUUGGGUAUUUUCCAAUAAAUAUAUAUUGUAGGAAAAUAUUCUUGCAAAAAAAAGUGUGACUUUUUAAAAAAAAAAAGGUGAAAAAUUUUUGUCUAAUUCGAAGCUUAUUUAAAGGUUAUAUAUAAAACAAGGUAAAAGGAACCAUGAAAUAAAAAGAGAUGUAAAGUUAUAAAAAUAAAGAGGUAUUUUUGUGUGUGUGUGGUAAGAAAGCUUAAAGAGAAAUAAUUUUAUAUGAGAAAGAAUCUUACAUGGUAAACUUCAGUCCUAAAAUAAAAUGACUGGUUGUUUAAAAAGGAGGCAUAUUCAGGACAAAUCAGAAAGUCCAAAUAUUAAGUUCUGGUUUGCUUAGGGAAAAAAACCUGAGAUUAAAAAAAAAAAUUUUUUUAAGGUUAUUAUAUCCAUGUAUUUUCCUGUAUGUUCUUUUAAAGUCCUUGUGACAUUGAGUUACAGGGUUUUGACUCCUGGAUCUAAAAAGGACACAAAGUCUUGCUAAAUCUUAAACACCAACAGCAAUUAAAGCCUCAUCUUCAGGCCCUGUAGAAGAUGCCAGUCAAAAUAAACUGCAUUUCUGCGACACAGGGCAAGAAAUUAAAGCUAUUUCAACUCCUCAAGGCCCAGGGACUAUCACAGAAGAGAUGGGCACACACGCAAUAUUGUAAGGGCCAAUUUUGAAAGAUAAAAUAAGUUAAGCUUCUUUAUAGAUGAAUCAUUAAUGUCAAAGGCACACUGAUGGAAGACCAGCAUAUGGGCCCCUGUGUCAGAUUAACAAAGUUUUCUCAAAGCAUUAACCAACUCCUUAGUGAAGGUCAUAAAGAUUAUAAAGUGCUAUGGAAGCUAUAUCUUAUGUUCAAGAUUAAAAAUUUUAUAGAUUGUUUAUAAAAUUUUGAAAAACAAAUUUAAUUGGAUUCAUGCUGUUUUUAUUAGGGCUUAUUGUUUGGAAAAUUAAGUCUCUUCUCAAAGAAUAAAGGUUCUUGCCUUUUUUUUAAAGUCCAGAAGUUAUCACUUUGGUUAAAUGAAUGACUUAUUUUACAAUGACCUGU